rnacentral:rRNA from 1 species
CCAGACUCCUACGGGAGGCAGCAGUGAGGAAUAUUGGUCAAUGGCCGCGAGGCUGAACCCGCCCCGUCGCGUGAGGGAAGACGGCCCUACGGGUUGUAAACCUCUUUUGUCGGGGAGCAACGCGAACACCGUGUGGUUCAUUGAGAGUACCCGAAGAAAAAGCAUCGGCUAACUCCGUGCCAGCAGCCGCGGUAAUACGGAGGAUGCGAGCGUUAUCCGGAUUUAUUGGGUUUAAAGGGUGCGUAGGCGGGCUUUUAAGUCAGCGGUAAAAAGUCGGGGCUCAACCCCGUCCGGCCGUUGAAGCUGGGGGCCUUGAGUGGGCGAGAAGAAGGCGGAAUGCGUGGUGUAGCGGUGAAAGGCAUAGAUAUCACGCAGAACUCCGAUUGCGAAGGCAGCAUACCGGCGCCCGACUGACGCUGAGGCACGAAAGCGUGGGGAUCGAACAGGAUUAGAUACCCGUGUAGAG